rnacentral:sRNA from 1 species
AUCAAAUAAAGUAAAAAUAUUUAAGAAAAAAGAAAAAGUAAAAUUUGACUUGAAUUUUGUCUUUAUCUUACUACAUAACAAAUAACAAAAGGUUAUAUAAGUCAUUUACUAAAAUCUCUAUUAGACAAAAAGUUGUAUUAGAGAGGAAAGAGAAUAGUGUCUAUUUCUCCUAUUUUAAAAAAAACUAUCUACUUUGCAAAUUAUUUGUAGAAAAAGUAUCUACUUUCCAACUUAUUAUUUUGCAUACCUCUUGUGUACAUUCUUAUAGGAUUUUCUUUUUGUAUCUCGACCCUUUUUGACU